UCUGGCCUCUGAUGCAGGCGAUGCACACACCGAAUGCAGUUGCCACAACUGUGGCUUCAAAGCAGAUAGCCACUUGGCAGCCAGAGCCAGAUUGCUGAGAACAAGGAAGCCACGCCCUCGACAGGCCCCGCAGCUGCAGAGUGCAGCUGUUUCAGCACAUCCACACUUCAUCUUUGUUUGCAGGACUGUAAGCCUCUGGUAAUCAUCCUUGUCAUGGACGAGCCACAAUGGAGAUCAAAGGUAUGAGGCAGCUCUUGAGGUUUGCUUCAACACCCCUGGUUUAAACUUAUAGCCCCGGUCCACUCGACACAGAGCGAGGCACCGAAAGAUCUCAACACUGAUGAAGGCACAGAAACGACUUGUGUUGUGAGUGUUUCUAUUCUCAGGAUGCCCUCCACUCCCAGGAGUGGUCCUCCAAGAGGGAAGAUCCCUACUCUGCCCAUCCAUUCUCCUCUACUCUCAGCGGCAGCUCCACGCUCUCUCCUUUCCGGUGUUUCUGGCACAUCCUUCCCAAACCACAGCACCAAAGUCCAAGCCAAUACAGAAAACCUGGGCUUCGAGAAUGAACUGCCUUCCCCUCCAGGACCUUGUUUACUUUGAUUCUUCAUCUGUGCGUAUGCUCUGUUUUGAAAGGAGCACAAUUAGAAUCCUGCCUUUUCCCAACAGGGUAUUAUUUUUGCUGACCCAACACUGGCUCAUUCCAGGAUUAAUCUCCCCAGUGCCCUAGGAGGGCAAAUAGGUGGCAAACAUGAGGGAAGCGCUUCUGUGAACACACUCUUUACUGGAACCUAUCCCAUCGCCAAACUCCUCUGCCAGGUUCCAUUAGGAAAUUGCAAGCAGAUGCAUCUAUCCAAGAGCUCUCUUCUCUCCUCCCCAUAAUAUAUCGACAUCAGAUUGCAGGGAGGGGGCAGAGCAGCCUGCCUUGCGUGGUUCCUGUGCACAGCAGACAUGCAGGCCAAUGCGAACCCCAAGCACACAGCUCAUGUGCACAUGAGGACACGUCACCAGCGUGAUUCUAUGCAGCUACCAGACAGGGGAGGACAAAGUGACAAUCGAUAACGUUGUACUUCAGAAUGUCAAGUGAAGGCCAUGACAAGAAGGGCAGGCUGCCCCGGGAAUAUGAAAAGAACAGAAAUACCUAAGGAUUGAUUAGGGGCUGGGCCAAAUUCCAGGCUUGAACGCAUCACAGAUUCUGCUAAGAGCUCCCAAGGGAGGGCUCCAAUGGGCAAUUUUUUUUGGGGCCCUGCAUUCCAUUCUUCUGAUACAGACAUCAGGCCUGCCUGGGAGAUGACUGGAGAAUUAAAAGCCCAAGCAAAAAGUGAAUUCAGGAAAGCCUGCUUCCCCAUCAGAAUGCUUUCGGUUUUCCUGAGACACCUCCCACCAUCUUUGAAAAGAGUGGAUUUUAUUAUUCCACUUUGCCAUUCUGGCUCCCAACGAGGGCCAACACCAGCAUGCAGGAGGAUAAAGAAAAUCUCAGAUGACAAUGGCAGUCGAAAGGCAGGAAGACUGCAGCGUGGCAGAGACUUCCAGAUGGAAGUGUACAGGGAAAGCCGGAAGGGAGGUAUGGUCAGUCUUUAAGGGGAUGCCCUUUAAACUGUUUUCCUCUUCUUUCAGGAACAUUUUGGUCUUGUCUUUUUUUGUGUGGACAGAAACAUACGCUUAAUCACUAGCAUAUUGUAUGAAAGAAAAAUAUAUAGACCUUCAAGACCUCAAAAUAUAUAGCCCCGGUUCCAAUCUUCAUUACCAGAAAUAACUAGAGGAAAUGAGAAGCAGGUGGGGAAAGGCUUUCCUGAACGAUGCCAGGGCUUCGUUUUAAUUCAGCUUGUGGACGGCCUGCUCCCACCGCCCCAUCUCGCUGACCAUAUAUUCAGAGGUCAAGCUACUAAAAUCAAGCAAAUACACUCAAUUUCCUUUAGCCCUAACCUCUGCAGUAGGAAGCACAUUUCUCUUGAAAUGACAUGAGCUUUGGACUUCUGAAUUCAUUGAAGACCAUGUUGAAAUUACCUGGACGGGCAGCGAAAAUCCGAAAGAAGUUCUUUAUGUCCUCAAUGGCUAAAGGAAAUCUUCCUAUGGACGGUGAUUACGGUCUGUGGGUGUCACGGAUGUUUCACUUGGUGUUAGUAUCUGACACCAUCUUUUGUUAGCGGCUGGUAACUAACUGGAGGAAGGAGGCAGGGGAGAGACCCGAGGACACACCGCUGCUCCUUUUCAUAAACAGCCCACAUUGCUUCUUUUACGUUCUUUAGGCAGUUGUUUCAAUCCCUGGAAAUUUCAGAACCGCCCAAGAAUUUAAAAGUGAUCAUUAGCAUACGCUUUGAAUAUAUACCAGAGACUACUGUCCACAAGGAAGAGUAAGAUCUGUUCAUGAUACAGCAUUCCACGGUGAGUUGACAGGCUGGCUCCGAGAGCAUUGCUCACGAUUUCAGUAGACAAAGAGGGGGUGGGGUGUCAGGAAAUGCAGUGAAGCCCUGCUUCUGCCCCUUCCUGGUUGCUAACCUUUGACAAGUCAUUUAACCUCUGAAUCACUCAAUUUCCCUAUCUGUGAAAGGAAGCAUUGAAGCCUAUCGUUCCCAAAGUCACCUUCUGCUAUAAAGUUUUAUGAUGACUAAGUCUCUGGAUCUAUUGGAAAGGCCGUGGGGUGGAUUUGUAGCACUUAGACCCCCAGGGAGCUAGAAAGACUUUAAAGUGAUACACGAUUGUAACAGAAACCUAAGAUGGGGUAACCUUGUUCCUAAUGAAGGAACCUGCUUGAAACUCAACUCUGAGCAAGGAGAGCUUGAGCUAUGGUGGACACCCACAAAAACUGCUCCCCCAGAGAAAAGUCAGAACUACCACUUUAGGGCUUCAACUCACUUCCUCACGUCAAUUUAUGCUCUGGAUGCUCCAAGAAUACUGCCUUUCUCUUACUGAGCCUCUAAUGUAACCAGAAGACAGAAACAAAUGCCCCCACAUGACUGUGUGCCCACUAACCUCCCCUCCCCAUCCGCCCCCACAAACCACAAUGUCAGUGGCUCCCAUACUGAUGCACAGACCCUGUGGAUAGAAGGAUGUGGUCCCUACUGAAGGGGUGGGUUAUUGCACUUCCUGGUCAGGAAAGCUCAAGGCCUGAUGUUCUUUAGUGUCUGGAGUCAGAGAUAAAGAACCAAAGUGCAGGUGUGACACCCUCCUAGGGUUCACAACUCCAUUCAUUGCUGCCUGAUCUCUGACAUUCUUUCUUUUGACUCUGCUGAUACAAAUGUCUCUCGGCCGAUUGUGCUCAGCCUGGUUUGUGUAAUGGUGUCUACGUGCAGGAGCAGCGUGAGCGUCCGUAUUCACUCUGCUGUCCGGGGAGUGUGGGGCACAUGGCUGUCCUCAGCCUUUCUCAAAACAUAAGAUGCAUGAGCAAAUUAGCCGAAAUAACUCUAAGUUUCUCCCAUCAUUUCCCCCUCUCCUGAGCAUGCCAUUGUAUUGACAAGCACUCUACCUUGAUGACGCAAAAAUACACUUGCUGGGUGAAUUCUCUGUUUGAGGUUAUUGUAUUUCACUCUCUAAUGGUUAUUCCUCAUCAUCUGAAAUGUAUUCAAGCUUUUUGAAAACCCUACCUUUUUUAUGGAUUGGAUAACAAGACAGACUUUUGGGGGAUUGCUUAUUUUCUCUUCAUUAUUUCUAGCUGAUAGGUACUGUUAGAAGUCCAAUCCUCAUCCCCUCUGCUAUAUUCAGACUAUGAAGUCCCAACCCUGAUACCAAACAAUGUGGCUGUCUUUAGAAACAGCCAUGCUGGAGAGGUGUUGAGCUAAGAUAGAAGGAUCAUGCCGGAGCAGGGGGAGCCCCUCACCCCAUGUGGUCAGUGUUCUUGCUAGAAGAGGAAAUUCUGAGAGACGCACACACAAGGAAAGCAAACACCGUGUGCCAAAGCAGGUAAGAAUCAUGUUUCUACAAGUCAAGGAGCACAGAACGCAGGUUGCGAUGCAUCAGAGCUAGAGAGCGCCCCCACAGGAUGUGACGUCACGGGGAAGCGCCCCCGUUGGUCUCCGACUUCUCAGCUCCGGAACUUUGAAAUCCAGAAAUCUCUGUUAAACCAUCCUGUUGGUGGCACAUAUGACAGCCUUCAGCAACUCGUCCAACAACCACAUUUGGAUACCUUCCUCUCGGCUCUUCUUCAAACGACCAAGAACGGGGCUGGGGCGAGGGCUUAGGGAGCGAACAUCCUGCUGUACUAAGCUGAUGAACUGAGUUUGGUUCUCAGAACCCACAUGAUGAAAGAGAUCUGACUCUCAAAACUUGUUCUCUGAUCUCCAUGUGUGUUCGACACAUGCCCACGUACACACAAAAUUAAAUAAAUAGAUGUGAAAAAUUAAAUGAUCAA